GAUGAACGCUGGCGGCGUGCCUAAUACAUGCAAGUCGAGCGAACGGACGAGAAGCUUGCUUCUCUGAUGUUAGCGGCGGACGGGUGAGUAACACGUGGAUAACCUACCUAUAAGACUGGGAUAACUUCGGGAAACCGGAUCUAAUACCGGAUAAUAUUUUGAACCGCAUGGUUCAAAAGUGAAAGACGGUCUUGCUGUCACUUAUAGAUGGAUCCGCGCUGCAUUAGCUAGUUGGUAAGGUAACGGCUUACCAAGGCAACGAUGCAUAGCCGACCUGAGAGGGUGAGCGGCCACACUGGAACUGAGACACGGUCCAGACUCCUACGGGAGGCAGCAGUAGGGAAUAUUCCGCAAUGGGCGAAAGCCUGACGGAGCAACGCCGCGUGAGUGAUGAAGGUCUUCGGAUCGUAAAACUCUGUUAUUAGGGAAGAACAUAAGUGUAAGUAACUGUGCACAUCUUGACGGUACCUAAACAGAAAGCAACGGCUAACUACGUG
rnacentral:rRNA from 1 species